rnacentral:rRNA from 1 species
GAUGAACGCUGGCGGCGUGCUUAACACAUGCAAGUCGAACGAUGACUUUUGUGCUUGCACAAAAUGAUUAGUGGCGAACGGGUGAGUAACACGUGAGUAACCUGCCCUUAACUUCGGGAUAAGCCUGGGAAACCGGGUCUAAUACCGGAUACGACGGACCGCCGCAUGGUGGUCCGUGGAAAGCUUUAUGCGGUUUUGGAUGGACUCGCGGCCUAUCAGCUUGUUGGUUGGGGUAACGGCCCACCAAGGCGACGACGGGUAGCCGGCCUGAGAGGGUGACCGGCCACACUGGGACUGAGACACGGUCCAGACUCCUACGGGAGGCAGCAGUGGGGAAUUUUGGACAAUGGGCGCAAGCCUGAUCCAGCAAUGCCGCGUGAGUGAAGAAGGCCUUCGGGUUGUAAAGCUCUUUUGUCAGGGAAGAAACGGGCCUUUCUAAUACAGGGGCCUAAUGACGGUACCUGAAGAAUAAGCACCGGCUAACUACGUGCCAGCAGCCGCGGUAAUACGUAGGGUGCAAGCGUUAAUCGGAAUUACUGGGCGUAAAGCGUGCGCAGGCGGUUUUGUAAGACUGUCGUGAAAUCCCCGGGCUCAACCUGGGAAUGGCGAUGGUGACUGCAAGGCUAGAGUUUGGCAGAGGGGGGUAGAAUUCCACGUGUAGCAGUGAAAUGCGUAGAUAUGUGGAGGAACACCGAUGGCGAAGGCAGCCCCCUGGGUCAAAACUGACGCUCAUGCACGAAAGCGUGGGGAGCAAACAGGAUUAGAUACCCUGGUAGUCC